UACGAAGGGGGCUAGCGUUGUUCGGAAUCACUGGGCGUAAAGGGCGCGUAGGCGGCUUUAUAAGUCGGGGGUGAAAGCCUGUGGCUCAACCACAGAAUUGCCUUCGAUACUGUAGAGCUUGAGACCGGAAGAGGUAAGUGGAACUGCGAGUGUAGAGGUGAAAUUCGUAGAUAUUCGCAAGAACACCAGUGGCGAAGGCGGCUAACUGGUCCGGUUCUGACGCUGAGGCGCGAAAGCGUGGGGAGCAAACAGG
rnacentral:rRNA from 1 species